UCAUUCAUUUAAGAAGCACUGUUUGGAUUGUCUAUCAUGUGUAAUGCAGUCUACUAGGGACUGGAAUAUAUACAAAGAUACAGAAGACAGAGUUCCCCACUAAAGGUGUUCACAGCGAGAGAAGAUAUGAUGAAAUGUGACUUUGAAGCUGGUGGAAACGUUACAAGGUGUUCUAAUGUACAUAUAAGAACGGGCACACGGCUUCUCCCUUUCUUCUAGUGUCCACAGAGAGUAUUUUAUUAGUAGACAAGAGGAGUAAAAUGCAUUGAUGUACCCCCUGAAUAUCUCCUAAGUCUUGGUCUUGUGUCUUACGUAAAUAGUCACCUAGGAAUUUUGCCAUUGGGUAAAGAGACUGUUUCUUUUUGGGGUGGCAUAGAGACUGCUAGAUGCCACAUAAGAAGGCUCGGUGGUGGUAAGAGCUGAAGGAAUAGUGAGCGGACAUUGUCCCGGGGAAUCACAUCCAAAAGGAGUACUGGUACUCUUUGGGAAGGCUGGCAGGACGCUCCUCUGACCUGUUUUCUACGUUCUGGACCGGCACCCCAGCACCACUGCUCUGCCUAACCACCCGAGGCCUCACAGUGGGGAGGAUGGAGGAGAAUGGGAAGAAGCAGGAAGACAAUUCCGACUCCAGGCUGCAAUGGGCCAACCUACAGACAGGACAGUUACAGGGACAGAGUGUAGCCACACUGAUGCCAUUAAAACCCUGAGAGAUUUGGCUUAGGUUUUCUAGAAAAACAAAAAAGAAGCUGAAAUACCCACUGGGGCAGUAUGCCUAAGGGGGAUGUGUGCAAUGCUCUUGAAAAUGUAUUACCAUUUCUGCUUCCAAAAGGAAGCAGGCCCUCUUUAUUCCUUGACUCUACACAUUCCUUGAAUGUGUGUAUUUGCCACUUUUAAGUCCAAUAAUAAGGAAAAAGUCCUUGCACGAACUAUAAAGGAAGACUUUUAUAGAUACACUUAAAUCUUUAUGUCAUGUCACUAUGGACUGAGUUAUGUUCCCCAAAAUUCAUACAUUGAAGCUUCAUCUCUAAUGCGAUUGUGUUGGCAGAUGGGGUCUUUGGGAGGUAUUUAGGUUUAGAUGAAGUCAUGAGGGUGGGACCCUCAUGAUGGGAUCAAUGCUUGAUGAUAAGAAGCACCAGAAAGCUCUCUCCCUAGGCUAUGUGAGGACACAGGGAAAGGCAGCCAUCUGCAAGGCAGGCAAACAGCCCUCUCUAAAACAGGAAUCUGCGGUGCCUUGGUCGGAGACUUCUCAGCCCCCAGAACGGAUAUUCCAUCAAAGACAGAUGUUAUUUCAGCAGGAGUUGUCACAGUGACAACAAUUGGGUGCGAAGACAUCAAAGAAUCGUCCUCUUGUACAGGUUUGGCUAUUUUGUCACAAGAACACCCACUUAAAGGGUGAAGAACUAUUCCCUCCAAGGACCAGUAUUUUCUAUAACAUUAUGGAGUAUAAUUUGUACCUAAUCUUUGAACAAAAGGACUUUUUUUGUGACCUGGUUUCUCUAGAGCUGAUGCCAUUGAAGAGAAAACGGACCAUCUACAAAGGUGCUCAGAGCCACAGCUAUUCCCACUCAGAGAACCUGGCUUCCCAGUCACUUUGCACUGCUAAUUUGUUAAAGUACAGGCAUAAAUUGAAAUGGAGAAAUCAAUUUUGGGUUGGUUGGCGUUCUUGUUGCCUCCAUUUUAUCCCUUCAGACAUCUAUAUGGAUGUUUCAUUUAAAGUCUUUGCAAAUACCACGCAAGUUUACUAAUAAAGCAUUUUUGCUGUU